CGCAGCCGUUGUAAUUAUACUGAGACUUUAGAACUUAUAUCUCAAGGUGGGUGGCGCAUUUACGUUGUAGAUGUUUAUGGGCUCCAGUAAUCACUUGACACCAGGUGGGCUGUGAGCUGGUCCACCCAUCUAAGUAACAAAAAAAUAAAAAAAGAGAUGAGUUGUAAGGUCUCACUUUUAACAGAACAACGGCUGCCCCGCCCUUCAAACCGAAACGCAUUACUGCUUCACGGCAGAAACAUGCAUGGUGGUGGUACCUACCCCCGCGGACUCACAAGACGUCCUACCACCAGUAAUUAUGCAAAUUAUAAUUUUGCGGGUUUGAUUUUUAUUACACGAUGCUAUUCCUUCAUCGUGGAAGUCAAUCGUGAACAUUUGUUUUGUUAACAUUGUUUACGUAUUUCAUUAGAAAAAUUGGUACAUGCCGCCGGGAUUCGAACACCGAUGCAUCGCUACAUAUGAAUGAGACCGGCCGUCUUAUCCUUUAGGCCACGACGACUUCUUCUCUUUGUGUUUUAAGCCGUAUGUUCCAUGGGGACUGCUGUAAGAAACUGUUUGAGAUGCUCUUUUCGUCUUCUUUUUGACCAUCGCACCGCUGGCCGCCGGAGCAGAUUUCACUGAGCUCUAGAAUGAAUUUCCCUCUACGGUGUUUGGAGGUUUGAGAAGAGCUCUCGGUAGGCAACGGCUUGGCUUUGCUUCUAGCAUUACUGAUGCCCAUAAGUGGCUAAUCAACAUGGGGCCAUUUGCUACUCCGCAAAAAAAAGUGUUGAGUUAGUAAAUGUCAAAAUUAUUAUUUUUCAAAAAUUUAUUCCUCUAACGAUUUUUGAAGAUCAAAAAUAAAAUCAUUAUUAUUUAUCAAUCAAUCUAUAUCAGAGCUCAGUAGAAAUUGAUCUUAUCCGCCAUCUUUCCAAUUCACGGUCAUCUGCGUGUAGUACUAUUCCAUAGAUUUUGUUUGCACCCAAACAUUUGUUACGGUAGGUAUUUGUCGGAAUUUUUUUAACAUGUCUCUACUAAAACUUACAUCGGUUAUAAUGUAUUCUAAUAUUUAUAUACAGACACGUGACAAAGCCGACUUGUUUUAGUGUAAACAUAACCCAUCUAGAGGACACAACACCACCGUGACUGGUCACAGCACUCGUGGAUAUUGUGUUCGGUUUUAAGACUUCAAUCAUGAAGGAUUUAUGUGUCUUGUCAGCAUUAUUAAUGAUAAUGACAUGUGUAUCAUUAGAAUCGCGGGAUAGCUGCGCGAAUUCAAAAACACCGUUAAGUUUGAUAAGAAAGAAGAGACAUCUUACUUUUCCGGAUCAUUCAAGUGUUGUGCUAACGAUCGCCCUGGUGAAAGCCUUUAUGACGCACGCACCGUCAGGCUGGAAUAUAGCUAUUGAGAUUGACGUCAUGUAUCCAAUGUUAAAUAUGAAUGAAACGAACAGACUCUUCCGUAAGAAGUAUCAUUACAGACAGAAACGAGAAUUCUGGGAGAGACUGGAGAAUGCUGUUGAGUUCCAAAAUUUGAAUGGAAGAUCAUGCAUACUACGUAGUGUAUGUGAGGCUGAUACGUCGUUGGCGGUGCCAGGGAAGUCACUGGUGCAUGAUAUACUUAGAGCUGUAUUCACGGCGCCAUUGCACGAUGAAGAUUUUCAAGAUGAAAUAAAAAGCACUUACGCCGAACUGUCCGAUCCGAGUUUUUGUAGCAAGCCAAACGAUUGUCCUUUUUCCUUUUUGGAUUUUGUUUUGUCUCUAAAUGAGCGGUAUUGAUAGACAAAUUGUUGUUACAAAGUAAUUUUGUUUUUAUUAGAACUCGUGUUAGUCAAUGAUCAAUAUUCGAUCAAAUAGAAUUCGACCAAAGUAUUAUCAUAAUAAUUAUUAUUUUAAUAUUUAAUUUUUAAUUUUCUUUAUAAAAUUUUCUCUUUUGUUAUCUUUUUCAAUUUUAUUUUGUUAUUUAAAAAAUAAGGUUUUUUUUUUAAUUUUUCAAUAUUACUGAACAAAAAAAAAAGAACUAAGGAAAAAUAUUGCUAACACUUGACAACAGCUAUUAAAAAAAAUAACGUUGAAAAACAAUGAAGGCAAAUGGUAGGAUUUCUCUUUUUUUAAAGAAAAAAACAUAACGGUUAACCAAAAAUAUAUUGAGAAUUCUCAAACCUCGUUGAUUGUUAUAAAAAAAAAAAGAAUAUCGGUUUUAAAAUAGAGUAGAUAAUGGUACUUAACUGUUGUGUAUUUUUCUAUUUAUAUUUAAAAAAGAUUACAUUAAAAAAUAAGAAUCGGAUGUAUAAGAGAGGUGUUAACUAAAAAAGAGCCAGUGUAACAUAAACCAGCUAUUUUUUAAAUAUUUUUCUGUCUGUCCGUAUGUUACGUUGCUCGGGCAUAUCCCCGGAUCUACUAAACGAAUCUUCAUGUAAUUUUUACAGGCUUAAAAACGUACUACGAAGUGGAAUAUACCUAAAAAUGCUUCGUAAAUACGGAACAAAAAAAGGCUUUUUUUAAAAAUAGACAAAAAUUGUGUGUAUUACAUUUUUAAGUCCAUCAACUGAUUUUACCGAAACAUUAAAGAUAUCUUUAUUUUUCGCGAUAAUGAAAUAACACUUUUUUUAAAUAUAUUAUUAUCCGCAACACUCUUCGUCAGAUUAUAGAAACAGAGUUAUCAGCAACAUGCUUCGUCAAAAAGUACAAUACUUAAUUUCAGCUACAAGCGUCGUCAAACCGAAAUAAGUGUAGAAAGCACUGGCAAAGAACAUGUUACUUUUCAUUUAUCUGAUGAUUACAACUUACCUAAUUAAACCACUUUAAGGAUUAAAAUCGUGUUUUUAUUGUCAAUGACGUUUCGAAUAUUUUAUAGUUUUCUUGGUCACGCAUGACUGAUGGUCAUGGUUGGUAAAUCGUAAAUUUUUUUUUAAUUUUGUCCACGACUCGUGAAAAAUCAAAGAAAACUGGUGGUAGGACCUCUUGUGAGUCCGCGCGGGUAGGUACCACCACCCUGCCCAUUUCUGCCGUGAAGCAGUAAUGCGUUUCGGUUUGAAGGGUGGGGCAGCCGCUGUAACUAUAUUUGAGACCUUAGAACUUAUAUCUCAAGGUGGGUAGCGCAUUUACGUUGUAGAUGUCUAUGGGCUCCAGUAACCACUUAACACCAGGUGGGCUGUGAGCUCGUCCACACACCUAAGCAAUAAAUAAAUAAAAUACUACUAUCUCUUGCUCUCUCUUUCUCCUUAAUUAGCAUCAAUACGCUAUAUUGUGAUUAAAUAAGUUAUUGAUGAUUAGUUUUGUUGCUCACUCUUUAGUAAUCAAAUUAAAAAAAUCGUUAUAAGAAAAAGUAGUUUAUUAGUAAGUGUCCCCUCCUCGCGUCGUUUCCUCACUGCUGAGGGUCGUGACCAUUAUAUUAUGUCGACAGGAUUUUGCUCCUUGUAAUGUCCCGCCAGCGCCUUCGAUCAUUGGCCGCAUGAAGGGCGUGGCAUUAGUAAGGCAGGCAUUAGUAAGUGUAAACAAUCUUUAAUUAUAAAGCAUUUUCAGAAUUCGUUUACAUCUCAAAGCAAACAUCUGUUAUUGGCGUACGAAUUUAAAACGAAAUAUUGAUAGAUUCUAACGCGGGAGUACAAUGUCAAUACUGUGGAAAUUGUGGUAUGGUCGGUUGGAAAAGUCUUUUUAUUUAAAUGAAUAAAUUGUAUUUUGUGGUUUUUAUUCUUUUUGUGAGAUUGGCCAUUUAAGGAAGUCUAAUGUCAAAUAAGAGAUCUAUUUAAGGAAAGAAGCCAUUUAAAUGGCUAAACCUUAUAAGAAGAAGGUUACUGGUGGCCCGAAGGCCUUUCCUGUUUCACCAGGACAGGUGGGUGAGCACGGGCUCAGGCAGGAGGAGUGGGAUUUGCUAACAGCUGCCUGAGCGCAUUUAACACAAGUUGAAACAACCUAUUGAGUUUCUCGCCGGAUUUUCUCAGUAGAUUGCGAUUCCGAUGUAGUGGUAGAUUCUGUGAAGCACUGCUCUUGCUAGGACUAGUAUCAGUAAAUUCUCUUAGGUUGAGUCCGUGAGCUUACCUACCAGUUCGGGCGUAACUGGAAUAGCCCCUUAGGCUACGAGCUAAUAGGUAAGGAAAAAAAUAUGAAAACAUUGUCAUCAGCCUAUGUUGGACAUGACUCCCCCGAAAAAGAAAGAUUGUCAUAAUUUUCCCAAUUCCUAUACUAGUUGAUGAUCGCAGUAUGAUUUUAUAAUACUCGGACAUUCUCUAGAGAAUUCUAAAGACACUUUUACGACCCUCAACGCAGGCGAGGCGGAGCGGAUUUUUCAAGAUCUUUGACCAUUACAAGAGCAAAAUUUGCCCGUUUAGUUGAAGUUGUUAGGUCAACACUUUGAGAAGGCGGCACGACAUGAGAACUUGACGUGGUCGCUGGAAACUACAUGCCCGUUCGUGUAGAGCGAAUGAUAACAGUCGACGUCACCCAAAACACGUCAUUACGGAUCCUCUCGAACCAUUGACGGUGCUUGUGGUACCUAAAAGCACCGGUCACCGUUCUCUUUGAACACGUGGCUUGCGACGAAGGGCUCAACGAGCGAAUUAGCCCAUAGACAGCCCACUGAGUUUCUCGCCGGAUCUUCUCAGUUGGUCGCGUUUCCGAUCCGGUGGUAGAUUCUGCGAAGCACUGCUCUUGCUAGGGCCAGUGUUAGCAACACUCCGGUUUGAGUCCCGUGAGCUCACCUACACGUUAGGGUGAAGCUGAAAUAGCCUCUCAAGGCUAUCAGCAUAGGUAGGAAAAAAAAGAAGGUCAAAGUCGUAUAUCCAAUUCGUUGAUAUUACAGCGCGACAGUACCGAGACAUUCCUUCAAGGCGCUAUUCGUGACGGAGCUAAUGAGCGCGCGCGGCAGUCGCUCUAAUUCUUUGAUCCAACAUCCCGGGUCACUGAACACGGCACGCUCACGAUUCCUUUAACAACGACAGAAUAGUGUGGAUAUUCUCUUGCUACUUUUAUUUUAUUAUCCGCUUCAUUUAAGAACACAGUAAAAUAUUUUGUGAUAAUAACUAUUUUGUUCUUCGAAUUGGAGGGCAUGGCAGUUCACGACAGUAGUGGGACGAAUGGUACCUACCUGAAAAAUAUAGUUUGUCUCCCAGGACUUGUCUAUAUCAAUAUAUAAAUCUACAGUGGUUUUUACGGAUGUUCCGCUAUAACUACUGAACCAAGCAUCCGAUUGACUUGAAUACUAAAUGGAUAGGUUAAUAUUUAUAUGAGUGUUGGACUCCCUAAUAAUAAUGACAAUAAAUAAUAAUGUUAAUUUUAAAUGCCCAGCGAGGCAGGCGAGUACGGCUUGCAGCAUAUAUACCUAAUAUAUUUUACCGACUAGGCUGUGGAUACUUCGUAUUGAUAAGUAUUUUGUAACUGUUUUCGCAGACAGACGAGCUUGGCUCCACCUGAUGGUAAUCAGUUAAGAACACAAUGGAUAUCGAAAAUGUCAAAGUCAACCGAUUAGUUAACCACAAAGAACAGUUUUAAAAUCAUAUUUAGAGAGCAGUGUGCUCUGGCGAGUAGUACCGUGGUAAAAAAGAGAUGAUUGUAUCAUCUCAAAAUUUUCCUCAGAAUAAUCCCCGAGGAAUUUCUGAUUGCAAAACACACAGAGAACUAGUACAUAGAUACUGAGACUUCACACGUACCGUGCUAAAAUAUAAAGGAACAAUACAAAAACCUAAUCUUAAAAAUUGGCUUACGUCAGAAAUAUUCUGCAAAUCAUGUUCUACAUAUAGACUAGAUUCUACAUAUUAUUAUAUGUAGAACGAUAUAUGUAAGCAUGUAAAGUUUGUUAUAGGAGUAGUUCACAUAUUUUUAAGUUUUCCAAUACAAUAUCGUUCCACUUAAUUCGAUUUUUAUCUCGUUUUUGCGUGAUAAAAUACUCAAUGGAUGUAUCGAUGAUACACGGAUAUUGAAGUCAAGGAUAUGGGACGUAAAAACAUCUUGAUGGUUCUUGAUCAUAUUCGUCCGCAGCUAGCAAAAGCUUACUGGUUUAAGACAGUAACAAAACAAGGCUGGAAAGCUUUUGAUUUGCAUCGUCGUUCGAUGAAUCUCCCAACGCUACUAAAAGAUAUUCAAAAUGAGCGACACGAAUUUGAAAGAAAACUAAGACUGAUUUUAUCAUCAACACUGUAAUAUAUAUACUUGUAAAAAUUGACGAAACAAUGAUUCGGGAAAUUCAUUUAUUUGGGUACUUGUAGUACCAUAAAUAUAUAUAUUGUAUAUAUGUAUAUGUAUGAAUGACGACCAUGGCCGCACUCACAAGAUUGAUACGAAAAAGAAAAAAAAGUAUCAAAGACGAAAUACCUACAUACUUGCGAAGAUCACCCCCGAUUACUCUCUUUAGUCAAUCCAUACCCUGGGCCAGGAAGGUCAAGUACCUGGGCGUUACCCUGGAUGCAUCGAUGACAUUCCGCCCGCAUAUUAAAUCAGUCCGUGACCGUGCCGCGUUUAUUCUCGGUAGACUCUACCCCAUGAUUUGUAAGCGGAGUAAAAUGUCCCUUCGGAACAAGGUGACACUUUACAAAACUUGCAUAAGGCCCGUCAUGACUUACGCGAGUGUGGUGUUCGCUCACGCGGCCCGCACGCACAUAGACACCCUUCAAUCUCUACAAUCCCGCUUUUGCAGGUUAGCCGUCGGAGCUCCGUGGUUCGUGAGGAACGUUGACCUACACGACGACCUGGGCCUCGAAUCUAUACAGAAAUACAUGAAGUCAGCGUCGGAACGGUACUUCGAUAAGGCUAUGCGUCAUGAUAAUCGCCUUAUCGUAGCCGCCGCUGACUACUCCCCGAAUCCUGAUCAUGCAGGAGCCAGUCACCGUCGACGCCCUAGACACGUCCUUACGGAUCCAUCAGAUCCAAUAACCUUCGCACUAGACGCCUUCAGCUCUAGGAGCAGGCUUAGGGACCUCGGUAACCGUACUCGUCGAACUCGACAAAGAGUUCGCCGUGCAACCUAACCCAUGAAUCAGCUCGCUGAGUUUCUCGCCGGAUCUUCUCAGCGGGUCGCGAUUCCGAUCCGGUAGUAGAUUCAUUCGCGAAGCAGCUGCUCUUGAGCUGUUAGGUCUCCUUCGGAGGCGCUCGGGUAGCUGUUAGCAAAUCCCACCCCUCCUGGCUGAGCCUUUGCUCGCCCACCUGUCCUGGUGAAACUGGAAAGGCCUCCGGGCCACCAGUAAUCCUUCAAACAUAAAAAAAAAAAAAAAAAAACUUGCGAAGAUAUGAAGGUGGGCUGAGAGAACGCGAUCGACUAACGGUUUGAUGAGCGAGCGAAUGAAUGUAGCGAAAGGAGAGCCUCAAUCUACUCGGAACAAUUAAUAAUAUCUACAUUGUUAUAGUCAGGGCGCGUACGUAUUAACGAUUUCCAGCGUUAUCAAGGAGACGAUUGCAAUUUUUCACCAAUACGACUGUCUAGCUGCGAUUCAUCCAUUGCUCGUUGUUGUUUACGAUAUCCUUCGUAACUUCUUCUUGUCCAUAUCUCACAUUAUGUAGCAUGUCUUCUUAUCGUGCUGCAUUGGGAUUUAGCAGUUUUCUUCAAGGCCGCCUAUCUAACGUUAUCUGUACGUUCUUGGGUAAUACAUCCAGUAGUAUGUCUAUUGCAACGUGCCGUAGGGAGGAACUUUUUUGUUUCUUCUGUUUAUUUUACUUCAUCCCAUAUCCUUUUCUUCAAGGCCGCCUAUCUGACGUUAUCUGUACGUCCUUGCGUAAUACAUCCAGUAGUAUGUCUAUUGCAACGUGCCGUAGGGAGGAUUUUUUUUGUUUCUUCUGUUUAUUUUACUUCAUCCUAUAUCCUUUUCUUCAAGGCCGCCUAUCUAACGUUAUCUGUACCUCCUUGAGUAAUACAUCCAGUAGUAUGUCUACUGCAACGUGCCGUAGGGUGAACCUUUUUUGUUUUUUCUGUUUAUUUUACUCCCAUAUCCUUUUUUUUAAUUGCCACCUAUCUAACGUUAUCUGUACCUCCUUGAGUAAUACAUCCAGUAGUAUGUCUAUUGCAACGUGCCGUAGGGAGAAACUUUUUUAUUUCUUCUGUUUAUUUUACUUCAUCCCAUAUCAUUUUCUUCAAUGCCACCUAUCUAACGUUAUCUGUACGUCCUUGCGUAAUAAUGCAGUAGUAUAUCUAUUGCAACGUGCCGUAGGGAGGAACUUUUUUUUCUUCUGUUAGGGUUUAUUUUACUUCAUUUCAUAUCCGUCUUCAUCAUCAUCAUCUCACCGUGCCCACUGUCCACUGCUGAACUUAGGCCUCCCCAACUGAUAUCCAGGGCGGCCGGUCCAUUGCCACCUGUAUCCAACGUAACCCAUCGAUUCUCACUAGGUCGUUGUUCCAUUUGGUGGGUGGCUGUCUGACGCUGCGCUUGCCAGUACGUGGACUACACUCGAAAGUCUUUCUGCCCCAUCGGCCGUUCGAUCUUUGUGCUAUUAAUAUGAUUAAUAUAUUAUAUGUAUAUUAAUCUAUUAACUAUGAUUAAUUAAGAAGAGUCAUAAUAAGUAACAAAUCCCUGGCACGUAAUGAUUCAACUGUAUUACUGGUAGAUGGUUGAAAAUAACAACCCGUGAGCCAGUUGUUAUUGUUAUUAUUUUUAAUUAUAUGUUGAACAUUGUGAUAUGCAACUACCAAUUUAGAAAGAAAGAAAGAAAGAAAAUCUUUAUUCGCCAGAAAUAUAGUUUACAAGAUAUAGGACAUAGCUUCAUAUAUUUCGCCUGUUUAGGCAUGCGAAAAUUUAAUUUAUUUUUAUAUUAAUUAUAACACAUUAACAACAAUUUAAAAAAAAACAACUUUAUUUUAAGGAUAGAUCUCAAUUUUCGCACUUUGUUAACAGAUAUACCAAUUGCCAGAUGUAUGCAUAAUUUGGAUUGAUACCAAAACCUUUAUGACAUAUCUUCUAAAUCUUCCGAUAAUGUUAUAUAAAGUUUUGACCAGCAGAAAAAAUCUCAAUAUUGCGUAAUAAAAGCUACUUUACUUAAUAUGAAGGGGGUUUUUUCUAAUUCUUUUAAAUGAAAUAUGGCAAAUACCACUUUUCCGCCACAAAUGAAUUCAAAUGAUGGUAAGAAGUAGAAAACAGUGGAAUAUUAUGUAAAGAUACAAAAAGAUACUGAUGGAGUAUCUUAAUGUAUAAUAAUAUGAUGCAUUUUUGUAUUUCAAGGUAAUAAAUACCUUUUUAUUUAAUUUAAUAUGUCAUUAUUUGUAAAAAAUAAAGUUUCAGUUCAGUUUCAGUCAAAAUUCAGAACUGGAUGAUAAAAAAACCUGUUAAGUUCAAUAGAUUUGAUUGAUUUUGAAGAAACUUCAAUAUUUAAUUUUAAAUAUUUAUAGGUUUAUUCACCUGCAACUAAUUUAUAGACUUUUAUUGGUUUCGGAACAUUAUUAAGAUAAUUAAAUAUAGCUAAUAUUUUUUCAAACUGAACAAAUAUUUUUUCAAAUUAAUGGAAUUGGAAAGUUCGAAUGGAUUAAAAAAGUAUUCCAUACUAAUCUAUCACAAAUCUCGACAUAGGUCAUAAGAUAGCUCAUGCAAUGAUUGCGUGCUACGUGUAAAUGAAUAAUAAUCUAAAAUAGACACAAAAAAUUUCAUUUUUUACUUCACGUUCACAUCAAACUGAGAUCCCCUAUGGCUCUGAGCUGCAUUGAUUGGAAGAAUCGAAUUUCCAAAAUGGAAUACGUUUAAAGAAAUUAAAUAAACCUAAGAAUUACAAGAGUAUUCGAAAAGAAAAAUGAUUGUGAAGAAGAAUUUGCGAUUGAUCUUCAUAGUACUUUUAUCAAUUUUGGCCAAGGGUUUGUGUAGCGUGAACCAGUGCCCUAAUAUAAAAAAUCCUCUGGGAUCCAUAAGGAAAAGACGACAUCUUACAUUUCCAGACGGAAGUACUGUUUCUAUGACCACCUCAGUAGUCAAAACUUUCAUGACCCACGUUCCGUCAGGUUGGUUUAUGUCGGUUGAAGCCGAUGUUGUGUAUCAUCUACCCGAUGCGAAGGUCAUAUUGGCACAUAACAGAAAAAAACUUCAUCACAGACAGAAGCGAGAGUUUUGGGAGACUUUACAGGGAGCUUUGGAUUCACGCAACAUGAAUGGUAAAGCUUGCGUUGUCAGAAGUAUUUGCGAAGCGAAAACCCAUUUAGCACCACCGGGGAAAUCUUUGGUUCAUGACAUCUUGAGAGCUGUAUUCACAGCACCCCUACACGAUGAGGAAUUCCACAAAGAAGUCGGCAUCGCGUACACCGAACUUUCGGAUCCUGAUAUUUGUAGUCAAGCCAAUGAUUGUACGUUCUCGUUUCUUGAUUUUGUACUUGAAUUAAAUAAAUUUAAAACUUAAUUCAAUAAAGUUAAGGUUCAGUUUGUUCA